GAAUUGACGGGGGCCCGCACAAGCGGUGGAGCAUGUGGUUUAAUUCGACGCAACGCGAAGAACCUUACCAGCCCUUGACAUGGGGGUUUUGGGAGACAGAGAUGACUCCCUUCAGUUCGGCUGGACCCCACACAGGUGCUGCAUGGCUGUCGUCAGCUCGUGUCGUGAGAUGUUGGGUUAAGUCCCGCAACGAGCGCAACCCUCAUCUUCAGUUGCCAGCGGUUCGGCCGGGCACUCUGGAGAAACUGCCGGUGACAAGCCGGAGGAAGGUGGGGAUGACGUCAAGUCCUCAUGGCCCUUACGGGCUGGGCUACACACGUGCUACAAUGGCGGUGACAGUGGGAUGCGAUGGGGCGACCCUGAGCUAAUCUCCAAAAACCGUCUCAGUUCGGAUCGCAUUCUGCAACUCGAAUGCGUGAAGUUGGAAUCGCUAGUAAUCGUGGAUCAGCAUGCCACGGUGAAUACGUUCCCGGGCCUUGUACACACCGCCCGUCACACCAUGGGAGUUGGUUUUACCUUAAGCUGGUGGGCUAACCUUCGGGAGGCAGCCAACCACGGUAAGGU
rnacentral:rRNA from 1 species